AGCGUUGAUAUCUGCGUUGAAGUCGGACUGUGAGGUCUGGUGGAGCGUUAUCAAGUGAGAAUGCUGGAAUGAGUAACCAUAAGGGGAGUGAGAAUCUCCCCCACCGAAAGAGCAAGGUUUCCUGGGCCACGGUAAUCGUCCCAGGGUUAGUCGGUCCUAAGCCGAGGCGCGUAGCGUAGGCGAUGGACAACGGGUUAAUAUUCCCGUACU
rnacentral:rRNA from 14 species